UGGGCCUACGGGAGGCAGCAGUGGGGAAUAUUGCACAAUGGGGAGAACCCUGAUGCAGCGACGCCGCGUGGGCGAUGGAGUAUUUCGGUAUGUAAAGCCCUAUCGGCAGGGAAGAAACUGACAGUACCUGACUAAGAAGCCCCGGCUAACUACGUGCCAGCAGCCGCGGGAAUACGUAGGGGGCAAGCGUUAUCCGGAUUCACUGGGCGGAAAGGGAGCGCAGGCGGGACGGCAAGCCUGGUGUGAAAACCCGGGGCCCAACCCCGGGCGUGCAUGGGGAA
rnacentral:rRNA from 1 species